rnacentral:lncRNA from 10 species
CUCGCCCGUUGACUGGCGCCAUCUUGUCUGCUCCUGACUCUACACGUAGCUGAUAAUGAGAAGGGAAGAUGGGGCUCCCGUUUUGAACAUGAUUGGCACAACUGCCAGCAUCUAUGUCUGCAGCUCGAUUUUAUAGGCUGCUCAUUGUUAGAAAGGAAAAUGAUUUGGAGCUACUUUUCAUUAAAAGGAAAACCUUACUGAGGACUGCUGUACCCUCACUAUCUGCUUAAGUAAUUUCUUCUUUUUUUUUUUUUUUUUGAGACGGAGUCUCCAUGUUAGAGUGCGGUAGCACGAUCUCGGCUCACUGCAACCUCUGCCUCCCGGAUUCAAGAGAUUCUCCUGCCUCAGCCUCCGGAGUAGCUGGGACUACAGGCGCGUACCAACACACCCAGCUAAUUUUUGUAUUUUUAGUAGAGAUGGUGUUCCACCACGCUGGCCAGGAUGGUCUUGAUCCUUGACCUCCUGAUCUGCCUGCCUCGGCAUCUCAAAGUGCUGGGAUUACAGGCGUGAGCCACUGCACCCGGCCAGUAAUUUCUUCUUAACUCCUGUAUCAACAUAUGAUAAAAUAGAGCAUUUUAAAAACAAGUUUUUGAAAAGAUUAAGAAUUUAUAAAAAGCUCUAAGAAGGAAACUUCAAAUACGGAUCUCAAUCACAAGCAAGGGUAAUGAGGACCCAGUGACCAUGAAGAGGCUCCAGAACUUCAUGACCUUCUGUUAUGAAAAGUUACUUAUAGUACUAUCUGUGCUCAACAGAAAAGUGCCUACUGAAGACUGUACAAGAAACUUAGUGCUGUCAU